rnacentral:hammerhead_ribozyme from 1 species
ACACUGAUGAAGAGUCCCAUACUAGGACGAAACGGCUGUCCAGUGC